GUCUACGGCCGUGCCACCCUGAACAGCUCGAUGUCUGAUCUCGGAAGUUAAGCAGGUUUGGGCCUGGUUAGUGCUCGGAUGGGAGACCACCUAGGAAGAUCAGGUGCUGUAGGCA
rnacentral:rRNA from 1 species